rnacentral:rRNA from 1 species
GACGAACGCUGGCGGCGUGCUUAACACAUGCAAGUCGAACGGAAAGGCCCUGCUUUUGUGGGGUGCUCGAGUGGCGAACGGGUGAGUAACACGUGAGUAACCUGCCCUUGACUUUGGGAUAACUUCAGGAAACUGGGGCUAAUACCGGAUAGGAGCUCCUGCUGCAUGGUGGGGGUUGGAAAGGUUCGGCGGUUGGGGAUGGACUCGCGGCUUAUCAGCUUGUUGGUGGGGUAGUGGCUUACCAAGGCUUUGACGGGUAGCCGGCCUGAGAGGGUGACCGGCCACAUUGGGACUGAGACACGGCCCAGACUCCUACGGGAGGCAGCAGUGGGGAAUAUUGCACAAUGGGCGGAAGCCUGAUGCAGCAACGCCGCGUGCGGGAUGACGGCCUUCGGGUUGUAAACCGCUUUCGCCUGUGACGAAGCGUGAGUGACGGUAAUGGGUAAAGAAGCACCGGCUAACUACGUG